ACUCUUCAACCCUCCAAUUCCUUGUUUGAAUUGCGAGGUGUUUGGAUCUUGAACAUUGCUGGCUUUCAAAGUCUAGCUUGUUUGUAAUGCAUUAGCAUCUCAAUUUGAAUUUAAUUCGGUUUGACUUGGCGUGAUAGACUUUUUAUAUUCGCUGAGGACACUUCAUCUAGUGGCCGAAUUUCAGACUGGAAGCUUCUAAUACCCAAUUCUGAAAAGUCUAAUAUAAG
rnacentral:misc_RNA from 1 species